UGCUGUACUCUCUAGCAAAAAAAGGUUUCCUUACUCUCUCAGCAGGAUGUCGAGUGCCACCGUGUCCCUGAGGUCACCCUUUCUCCUGUUGGGAGAGCACGAGGCGGAUGGAGAGGAUCCCCAGGCGUCUGCAGGCACAAGGGACUUCUAUGACUCCAACUUGCCUACUGCAGCUGUAGGAUGGACUUUCAAGAUACCAUGGGGAAUGUGCCAGCACUCUCCUGCUGGAGUUUUUUUAGGCUGUAUUUGAACACAAUGAGUAAAACUAAAGUCAGGGAAUAACUCCUGUCAGCAGCAAGGUCCCGACUGAAGUGGCAGCUGCAGUUGUUCCUGUGGUGUGGGCCAGUGGAACUGCAGGAGAGUGGAAGAGGGCAGAACCUGAGAAAAUCUGGACAGCGGGAAGGAAGAAGAGAAGCCCCGUGACUCCUCCCUGAGCCCCAGACAGCCCCUGAACUGCCUUGCUGGGAAUGGUGGGACGGGCUGGACUCUGGAUUGCUCCCUCUGGAUGUGUGGUAAGACUGUUAUGGCAACUUUUCCAACAGCCUGCAAGAAUUUGCUGCCUUGGCUAGAUGGUGCAAGGGCAGCCUUUAAGCAGCUGAAGCCUUCCCUGAGGAGAGCUCUGGGUGUGCCAGAUGUGUCAGAAGUGUUGGAAGCAUCUUUGGUGGGGAGGGCAAAGAAAGGCCAAGGUGUGCAGUGACCCCCCUGAGAAGGGACUUUGAGUUAAUGGCAUCCCUGCAAGUGAACUUUGUGGGCUGUUCCCCCUGUAGGGCAGGUGAUAGUCCCAGCUACAGGGAUGGGAAAAAUGGUUAAAAGGGAGCCACAGAAGCUGGAAAUGCUCCUGGAGGCUCUUGUCAAAGAGAGUUUGCUGAGUUCCCCCUGACAGAAGGACAGUGACAGCUUUUGAGUGCUGGUAGAUCCUUUGAAUAGACAGCCUUGAGUGUGUCCUUGUUGCCCCAGUAGGCCUUGUCCAACUCCCCAUCUUCUAGGGGAUAUACCUAUUAAAGUUUCAAAUGCUGUUCCUAAUCCUUUGUUGGCUUGAGGCUCUCCCCUCAGGAACUGCAGGAACUCCUGGUGCCGCCUGGGCCGAUGGAUUGGACGCCCCAGCCCCUCCGUUCCUGCCCAGCCCCUGGGGCCGUGUCCAGUGGUGGCACUGCCAGCCCUGCAGGGGAAGUGGGAAGGGCCUUUGCAGGUCUGGUGGAUCACAUUGAUAGCAGUGGGAUGGAGCCUGGAAACUGCACAGAGCUGAGCCCAGGGAUUGAAAGGGACCAAGCAAGGGAGGUGAAGAAAGAAGGAAGAAGGGAACUGAGGCAUCAGCCAAGCAGCACCAAGUUGCUGUGUAAGCAGGAGAAAAUCUGGAAAGUGGGAAGGAAGAAGAGAAGCCCCGUGACUCCUCCCUGAGCCCCAGCCAGCCCAUGAACUGCCUUCCUGGGAAUGGUGGGACGGGCUGGACUCUGGAUUGCUCCCUCUGGAUGUGUGGCUCUCCCCUCAGGAACUGCAGGAACUCCUGGUGCCGCCUGGGCCGAUGGAUUGGACGCCCCAGCCCCUCCGUUCCUGCCCAGCCACUGGGGCCGUGUCCAGUGGUGGCACUGCCAGCCCUGCAGGGGAAGUGGGAAGGGCCUUUGCAGGUCUGGUGGAUCACAUUGAUAGCAGUGGGAUGGAGCCUGGAAAGUGCACAGAGCUGAGCCAAGGGACUGAAAGGGACCAAGCAAGGGAGGUGAAGAAAGAAGGAAGAAGGGAAGUGAGGCAUCAGCCAAGCAGCACCAAGUUGCUGUGUAAGCAGCUCCAAUUCGCCUGUAAGGGCCUGGUUUUCUUUCCUGCUUCUCCCAACUUGUCCAGGAGAUGGAAUUCCAGUGCUACAGAACAGAUGGCUUGUGGUGCUCCCAAAAGGAGCCUUUGUGCCUUCAGGGUAAGUUGUGUUGCCCCUGGAGCUGUUGGGAGAAGCAGAGGGUUGUCAGGGAGAGGCCUGGAAUGAUGUUGCUGUGGCACAGAUGUUGCUCCCUGGCAGGUUCUUGGGUUGGAUUCCUUGGCUGCCACUUGGCAAGGCCUGGAAGGGCCUCAGUUGUGUAAGGAACCAAACAUGGAAUGGGAAAGCAAAGGGGGGGAGGUUCUGGUUUCAGAAAGGAUCAUUGCCUUCUCUUUCUGCAGGGACACUGAGCUGGUCCAGCUGUGGCAAGAAGAACAAGUGGGCUGUGAAGGUUUGGAGCAGUCUGGAGGGUUCCUCGUGCUCAAAGGAUCCUGGAAGUGCAGCUCAGGAGCUGUCAGGAGUAAUGAUAAGUGCCCCAGUUCUUGUGAAUCUCAACUGUGUAAAACAGUUAUGGAGCUAAAAUUCCACAGCCUUGAGCUGCUGGGUCCCAAAGAAUAGUGGAGGGAGAGGCAGAAAAUCCCCCUGCUGCUGGGGCUGAACUGUCUGCAGUGAGGGGGCAGGACUUGGCCCUGAUGCCUGAGUGCUCUCCAGCCCCCCAGAUCGAUCCCAACUGUCAGCCCCUGGCUCCAUCCCUUGAGAAGAUGGUGUUCCUGCAAGCCCAGCUGCUGUGCUGGUGGUCCUGGGGGCACCUCCUGCCCUGGCCCGCUGUGACUGUGUUUGUGUUGCAGCUCAAUAAAGUCCCUUUCAGUGCUG